AACGAACGCUGGCGGCAUGCCUAACACAUGCAAGUCGAACGAGACCUUCGGGUCUAGUGGCGCACGGGUGCGUAACGCGUGGGAACCUGCCCUUAGGUUCGGAAUAACUCCCCGAAAGGGGUGCUAAUACCGGAUAAUGUCUUCGGACCAAAGAUUUAUCGCCUUUGGAUGGGCCCGCGUUGGAUUAGCUAGUUGGUAGGGUAAAAGCCUACCAAGGCGACGAUCCAUAGCUGGUCUGAGAGGAUGAUCAGCCACACUGGGACUGAGACACGGCCCAGACUCCUACGGGAGGCAGCAGUGGGGAAUAGUGGACAAUGGGCGAAAGCCUGAUCCAGCAAUGCCGCGUGAGUGGUGAAGGCCUUAGGGUUGUAAAGCUCUUUUACCCGGGAUGAUAAUGACAGUACCGGGAGAAUAAGCUCCGGCUAACUCCGUG
rnacentral:rRNA from 1 species